AUUUUUCUUUGUGUUCUUAGCAGUUAAUCGAACCCGCCACCUCAUCAUUAUCCAAGCUUUACUGAAUUUGCUCUUCGAUUAAACAUCUCUAUCUCUCUCUUGUAGCGUGAAAUUGGUCUGCAAACUUUUGUCUGCCAAAUGUUUGUGCAAAUGCCAAUGUGAAAUCUUUUUGCGUUUUUAAUAAUUUCAUUAGCGAUGCAUGAAUCUUUCUGAUGCUUUAUGUAAGGAAGUAUAUGUAGAUUUUCGUUUUGAUUGUGUAUGAUUAUAGAUGAAGUAUUUGACGCCGCUAGCCUUGUUCCAUGAGUUGCUGAAGACAAAAGUAAGAGAGCGGGGGAGGUUGCUUGGCUUGGAUGUUGGAGACAAAUAUGUUGGAUUAGCUAUCUCAGACCCUCAUAAUAAAAUCGCUUCGCCUCUAAGUGUUCUGCUAAGGAAGAAAACAAACAUUGAUUUGAUGGCGAGUGACUUCCAGAGUCUGAUCUCUGAGCUUUCCCUGAUGGGAUUUGUUGUUGGCUACCCUUUCGAAAGAGGCCGAGCCCGAACUGCUCCUGACGUGUGUUUUCAUUUCACUCAUCAUCAGUAUUAUCACUCUUACGUCUCGCCCUCAUCUCAUGUAUGUUCUUUUAUUAGGCUUUGCAUGUGAAGCUUUUCGUCGAUGAUCUCUCUAAAACAGGGAAACUUGAAGAUUUAAAAUACACAUAUUGGGAUGAGUGCUUUACAUCAAAGGUGAAUCCAUAUAUCUGAUUGAAACAUUAAGGGUUUCAUUGUGAUCUUUUUGACAUGUGCAUACUGAGGCUUUUUCUUUGGGAGGCUGUUAGCCUGUUACAACUUAGCACAUGCAUGCUACCUGGUCAAAUGAAAUUGGAAAAAAAUUAGUUUUCGCCAUUUAUUGCCGCUUAUUAAUUAUUUCUUAUUUUGAAACUCCUUAAACCCUUUUCUUCCUCGACAGAGUAAAAGCAUCUUGCAUUCAUGAUAUGAAUGGCAUAGAAUUUCAUGGUUAAUGUUGUUUGCAGAAUGUGGAAUUACUGGUAAAGCCUUUAGAUUUGCAUCCAGUUCUAGCAAAAACCAUAACUGACAAGUUUGCUGCUGUUGGGAUACUUCAGGUAUCUUUCUUUUAGUCCAUCCAUUCAAUUCUAAUUGGCCUAAUAUUUCUGAAGAUAUUUGAAUGUGGUUGGAAGUGUAAAUUAUUGAGAUCAUAAAGCUACUUAAAACACAUUGGAAUUUGGACUGAUUCCUUUGCCAUGGGGUUUCAAUAACCUGGAACCAUUAAUGCGUACAUUACUUAACAAGAAAAGGAAAAAAUGAUUCGUGGUAGGGGUACCUGAACUUAACAAUCUGAUUCAUGGCAGGGGUACCUGGAUUAUGUUAAUAAGAAGGUGGAGUUGGAGGCACCAGAAUAAGGAGUUUGAAAUGAUUCGUGUUUUUCAGCCAGGUAGUAAAGAGGGAGGUUUUAUUGACAUCGUACCUAAAUCAAAGUUGCAAGGUCCCACUGCAUGACCACUUCUGAUAUUGUUGCUUGCUGCAUUGCCCAAUCAACAGUGACUUGGGAUUUUUGAUGCUUGCACAUGUUUUGGUUUUAAGUAAUUGUUGAGUCCCUAGAACCGAUAUAAUCUUUGUGAUUUUUGCCUAGGGGUCCUUGGUGAAAAGGCUCCAAGGAAAAAUGGAUUUUUUUUUUGUUAUCUUUUUAUUUUAAAAUUUAUUUUUAAGGUAGUUAGCUUAAGAAGAAAGAUGACAUUUUCACUUAAAUUGCUGUUUAGAUCAUUGUUAUGACUGAGAUCAAUAUCUCAUAUAUGGUUGCAGGUAAUAUGGUGGUAGAUUUGUGGAUGCGAGCAUUAGUUUUAGCUAAGAAACUUAAAACCAAAGUUCAUAUUUCCUUUUAAUUUAUUUUUCCAUUUCCUUUAUGGCAACUUAUAUUCUGAAUCUUCUAACAUGAAUUUAUGCGUACCUUGUAAUAGGGUGGUUGGAAUGCAAUCAAUUAGAG
rnacentral:misc_RNA from 1 species